rnacentral:other from 1 species
UAAACCCUGCUGUGUUUGUGAUGCAGCGACACGUUUUGAGCCAACAUUUACACUAACGGGGAUCGAUCUCCUCUUUAAGAGGGACUGGAACGGUCGCAAGGCCGGGCCGACACCUCUGGGUAGAUUCCCACCUGCGCAAGCAGGUUCAAAACCCUCUUGCACACGGCACAGCGGGGCGCUA